rnacentral:rRNA from 1 species
AUUGAACGCUGGCGGCAGGCCUAACACAUGCAAGUCGAGCGGAUGAAGGGAGCUUGCUCCUGGAUUCAGCGGCGGACGGGUGAGUAAUGCCUAGGAAUCUGCCUGGUAGUGGGGGAUAACGUCCGGAAACGGGCGCUAAUACCGCAUACGUCCUGAGGGAGAAAGUGGGGGAUCUUCGGACCUCACGCUAUCAGAUGAGCCUAGGUCGGAUUAGCUAGUUGGUGGGGUAAAGGCCUACCAAGGCGACGAUCCGUAACUGGUCUGAGAGGAUGAUCAGUCACACUGGAACUGAGACACGGUCCAGACUCCUACGGGAGGCAGCAGUGGGGAAUAUUGGACAAUGGGCGAAAGCCUGAUCCAGCCAUGCCGCGUGUGUGAAGAAGGUCUUCAGAUUGUAAAGCACUUUAAGUUGGGAGGAAGGGCAGUAAGUUAAUACCUUGCUGUUUUGACGUUACCAACAGGAUAAGCACCGGCUAACUUCGUG